AUGUACGAACUCUGGGGUGGAGUCAUUUACACUUCCGGUCCUUCAGUUGAGAUUUUUGAAAAGAAGAUGGACGCCAUUGAAGUACAUCGUGGGAUAGUAAAAGGGUCAGCAAAAUGCUCAUCAAUGUCCAGUACCAUGGAGAAAAAAGUACCUCAAACUGCAGCCUGGUUUUUCCUUUCAAAGUUUAAUUCGAGAAGGCACAUCAAUCCACUGGUGCAAAAGAAGAGAACACCUCUGCCAUAGGAGAUUCAGCAGAAAAAGGCCAAACAGAUGGUCCAGGAGGUUCUGGAGAAGAGUUAAAUGGGAGAGGAAAUAAUGGAGGAGUAUAGUAGAGCACCUUGACACACUGUACAAGAAGGCAUCUUCUGAAUAUCCUGGUCCAUGGUUAUGUUUUGUUUUGAAUAAAUUAAUCUAAUUGUAUACAACAGUUAGGUCCAGUCAAACUAUUAACUCUUUUCUGACUGAACGAGAGGGAUUCCAUGGGUGGGGUUAUCUCAGGACAUCCCAGACUUUUCAGUGGUAGUGCCAUUUUUACAUUGAUCCAAUGUUAUCGUUCCAUUCAUUCAAAGUGAGAGAACAUUGUAACAUGACAUCACAAUUGACUGUUUGAGUGAGGAAAAAUAGAGUGCAUGUAAUAGGGUGAAUAAUGUAAUGUGAAAUAAAAUGAAAAAUCAUUAUUGUGCACAUAUAGCCUCACACAACCUGCCUGCAGAGUGACAAGAAAACCCUAAAUUAAUGUAUUUUAAUCCAGGUAUUAGGUAGUAGAAUUGCUGUGUAAAAACAAUAUUGAACUGGUGAUUGUGGGGUUGAUAAAUGCUAUAAGGUAGAACCUUAGCUGUAGGGAUAUCUAUUACCAACUACACAGUGGCUCCAUUUUCAAAAAACUCCUGAAGACCCAGCUCUUUAGAGAACAUCUCCUCUCAUAGCACUACUUACAACAAGUCUUGCUGAUCCUAGUACU